rnacentral:rRNA from 1 species
UACGUAGGAUCCGAGCGUUGUCCGGAUUUACUGGGCGUAAAGGGUGCGUAGGAGGUCAGGUAAGUCAGUGGUGAAAUCCCCGAGCUUAACUUGGGAACUGCCGUUGAUACUAUCUGUCUUGAAUAUCGUGGAGGUGAGCGGAAUAUGUCAUGUAGCGGUGAAAUGCUUAGAUAUGACAUAGAAUACCAAUUGCGAAGGCAGCUCACUAAGCAGAUAUUGACGCUGAGGCACGAAAGCGUGGGGAUCAAACAGG